GGGUUGUGAGGUUAAGCGACUAAGCGUACACGGUGGAUGCCCUGGCAGUCAGAGGCGAUGAAGGGCGUGCUAAUCUGCGAUAAGCGCCGGUAAGGUGAUAUGAACCGUUAUAACCGGCGAUACCCGAAUGGGGAAACCCAGUGUGACUCGUCACACUAUCAUUAACUGAAUCCAUAGGUUAAUGAGGCGAACCGGGGGAACUGAAACAUCUAAGUACCCCGAGGAAAAGAAAUCAACCGAGAUUCCCCCAGUAGCGGCGAGCGAACGGGGAGGAGCCCAGAGCCUGAAUCAGCAUGUGUGUUAGUGGAAGCGUCUGGAAAGGCGCGCGAUACAGGGUGACAGCCCCGUACACAAAAGCGCAUGUGCUGUGAGCUCGAUGAGUAGGGCGGGACACGUGGUAUCCUGUCUGAAUAUGGGGGGACCAUCCUCCAAGGCUAAAUACUCCUGACUGACCGAUAGUGAACCAGUACCGUGAGGGAAAGGCGAAAAGAACCCCGGCGAGGGGAGUGAAAAAGAACCUGAAACCGUGUACGUACAAGCAGUGGGAGCCCCACCACCAAAGCAUUUGCUGUACCGCGUUGACGGAGCGAAGCGACGUCAAACCGAUAAAACAGCAGUGUAAAGUGAGCCGCAGGGCGCUUUGCGCGACAGCGCAAAGGCAGGCGGUUUCGCGUAGCGAAAGCGAAUGCUUUGGGGUGGGGUGACUGCGUACCUUUUGUAUAAUGGGUCAGCGACUUAUAUUCUGUAGCAAGGUUAACCGAAUAGGGGAGCCGGAGGGAAACCGAGUCUUAAUUGGGCGUUAAGUUGCAGGGUAUAGACCCGAAACCCGGUGAUCUAGCCAUGGGCAGGUUGAAGGUUGGGUAACACUAACUGGAGGACCGAACCGACUAAUGUUGAAAAAUUAGCGGAUGACCUGUGGCUGGGGGUGAAAGGCCAAUCAAACCGGGAGAUAGCUGGUUCUCCCCGAAAGCUAUUUAGGUAGCGCCUCGUGAAUUCAUCUCCGGGGGUAGAGCACUGUUUCGGCUAGGGGGCCAUCCCGGCUUACCAACCCGAUGCAAACUGCGAAUACCGGAGAAUGUUAUCACGGGAGACACACGGCGGGUGCUAACGUCCGUCGUGAAGAGGGAAACAACCCAGACCGCCAGCUAAGGUCCCAAAGUCAUGGUUAAGUGGGAAACGAUGUGGGAAGGCCCAGACAGCCAGGAUGUUGGCUUAGAAGCAGCCAUCAUUUAAAGAAAGCGUAAUAGCUCACUGGUCGAGUCGGCCUGCGCGGAAGAUGUAACGGGGCUAAACCAUGCACCGAAGCUGCGGCAGCGACACUGUGUGUUGUUGGGUAGGGGAGCGUUCUGUAAGCCUGUGAAGGUGUGUCGUGAGGCAUGCUGGAGGUAUCAGAAGUGCGAAUGCUGACAUAAGUAACGAUAAAGCGGGUGAAAAGCCCGCUCGCCGGAAGACCAAGGGUUCCUGUCCAACGUUAAUCGGGGCAGGGUGAGUCGACCCCUAAGGCGAGGCCGAAAGGCGUAGUCGAUGGGAAACGGGUUAAUAUUCCCGUACUUGGUGUUACUGCGAAGGGGGGACGGAGAAGGCUAUGUUGGCCGGGCGACGGUUGUCCCGGUUUAAGCGUGUAGGUGUGUGUUCCAGGUAAAUCCGGUUCACUUUAACACUGAGGCGUGACGACGAGGCACUACGGUGCUGAAGCAACAAAUGCCCUGCUUCCAGGAAAAGCCUCUAAGCAUCAGGUAACAUCAAAUCGUACCCCAAACCGACACAGGUGGUCAGGUAGAGAAUACCAAGGCGCUUGAGAGAACUCGGGUGAAGGAACUAGGCAAAAUGGUGCCGUAACUUCGGGAGAAGGCACGCUGACACGUAGGUGAAGUGAUUUACUCAUGGAGCUGAAGUCAGUCGAAGAUACCAGCUGGCUGCAACUGUUUAUUAAAAACACAGCACUGUGCAAACACGAAAGUGGACGUAUACGGUGUGACGCCUGCCCGGUGCCGGAAGGUUAAUUGAUGGGGUCAGCGCAAGCGAAGCUCCUGAUCGAAGCCCCGGUAAACGGCGGCCGUAACUAUAACGGUCCUAAGGUAGCGAAAUUCCUUGUCGGGUAAGUUCCGACCUGCACGAAUGGCGUAAUGAUGGCCAGGCUGUCUCCACCCGAGACUCAGUGAAAUUGAACUCGCUGUGAAGAUGCAGUGUACCCGCGGCAAGACGGAAAGACCCCGUGAACCUUUACUAUAGCUUGACACUGAACAUUGAGCCUUGAUGUGUAGGAUAGGUGGGAGGCUUUGAAGUGUGGACGCCAGUCUGCAUGGAGCCGACCUUGAAAUACCACCCUUUAAUGUUUGAUGUUCUAACGUGGACCCGUUACCCGGGUUGCGGACAGUGUCUGGUGGGUAGUUUGACUGGGGCGGUCUCCUCCUAAAGAGUAACGGAGGAGCACGAAGGUUGGCUAAUCCUGGUCGGACAUCAGGAGGUUAGUGCAAUGGCAUAAGCCAGCUUGACUGCGAGCGUGACGGCGCGAGCAGGUGCGAAAGCAGGUCAUAGUGAUCCGGUGGUUCUGAAUGGAAGGGCCAUCGCUCAACGGAUAAAAGGUACUCCGGGGAUAACAGGCUGAUACCGCCCAAGAGUUCAUAUCGACGGCGGUGUUUGGCACCUCGAUGUCGGCUCAUCACAUCCUGGGGCUGAAGUAGGUCCCAAGGGUAUGGCUGUUCGCCAUUUAAAGUGGUACGCGAGCUGGGUUUAGAACGUCGUGAGACAGUUCGGUCCCUAUCUGCCGUGGGCGCUGGAGAACUGAGGGGGGCUGCUCCUAGUACGAGAGGACCGGAGUGGACGCAUCACUGGUGUUCGGGUUGUCAUGCCAAUGGCACUGCCCGGUAGCUAAAUGCGGAAGAGAUAAGUGCUGAAAGCAUCUAAGCACGAAACUUGCCCCGAGAUGAGUUCUCCCUGAGACUUAAAGUCUCCUGAAGGAACGUUGAAGACGACGACGUUGAUAGGCCGGGUGUGUAAGCGCAGCGAUGCGUUGAGCUAACCGGUACUAAUGAACCGUGAGGCUUAACCUUACAACGCCGAAG
rnacentral:rRNA from 2 species